UUGAACAAAGCAUAAGCAUCGCUAUAGAUAGCCACCAGGUUUGAGAAGACGGCAAGAACAAUCAUGAAAAUGGCUAAAAUCCUGUCCUUUUUGGUUGCUAUGCAGUGAGGAUCCCUGCAAUUAGCACAGUGGAAAGGGUGUUGAUUUUUUAAC